rnacentral:piRNA from 1 species
UCCUGUGGUUUCACUUUCAAAUUCCCAAU